AUUGAACGCUGGCGGCAGGCCUAACACAUGCAAGUCGAGCGGAGCGGCGGACGGGUGAGUAAUGCCUCGGUAUCUGCCUGGUAGUGGGGGAUCCCGUACGGAAACGGGCGCUAAUCCCGCAUACUAUCAGAUCAGCCUAGGUCGGCUUAGCUAGUUGGUGGGGUAACGGCUCCCCUAGGUUCUGAUCCCUAGCUGGUCUGAGAGGAUGACCAGCCACACGUGAACUGAGACACGGUCCAGACUCCUACGGGAGGCAGCAGUGGGGAAGAUUGCACAAUGGGCGCAAGCCUGAUGAAGACAUGCCGAGUGUAUGAAGAAGGCCUUCGGGUUGUAAAGUACUUUCAGCGGGGAGGCGUUACCCGCAGAAGAAGCACCGGCUAACUCCGUGCCAGCAGCCGCGGUAAUAC
rnacentral:rRNA from 1 species